rnacentral:rRNA from 1 species
AUUGAACGCUGGCGGAAUGCUUUACACAUGCAAGUCGAACGGCAGCACGGGGGCAACCCUGGUGGCGAGUGGCGAACGGGUGAGUAAUACAUCGGAACGUGCCCGGUCGUGGGGGAUAACGUAGCGAAAGUUACGCUAAUACCGCAUACGAUCUGAGGAUGAAAGCGGGGGACCUUCGGGCCUCGCGCGAUCGGAUCGGCCGAUGUCAGAUUAGGUAGUUGGUGGGGUAAAGGCCUACCAAGCCGACGAUCUGUAGCUGGUCUGAGAGGACGACCAGCCACACUGGGACUGAGACACGGCCCAGACUCCUACGGGAGGCAGCAGUGGGGAAUUUUGGACAAUGGGCGCAAGCCUGAUCCAGCCAUUCCGCGUGCAGGACGAAGGCCUUCGGGUUGUAAACUGCUUUUGUAUGGAAAGAAAAGGCUCUGGCUAAUACCUGGGGCUCAUGACGGUACCGAAAGAAUAAGCACCGGCUAACUACGCG